rnacentral:rRNA from 1 species
AUUACCCACUCCCGGCACGGGGAGGUAGUGACGAAAAAUAACGAUACGGGACUCAUCCGAGGCCCCGUAAUCGGAAUGAGUACACUCUAAACACGUUUCCGAAAAUCAAUUGGAGGGUAAGUCUGGUGCCAGCAACCGCGGUAAGACCAGCUCCAAUAGCGUAUAUUAAAGUUGUUGCGGUUAAAAAGCUCGUAGUCGAAUCUGUGUCCCGCGCCGCUGGUUCAUCGCUCGCGGUGUUCAACUGGCGUGUCUCGCGGGACGUCCUGCCGGUGGGAUUCUGGGUCGUUUCGGCGGCUCAGUCCCUACCUGUCUCCGCCUUGCGCGGUUGCGGAUCCCAUCGCGGUGCUCUUUAUUGAGUGUCGAGGUGGGCCGGCACAUUUACUUUGAACAAAUUAGAGUGCUUAAAGCAGGCCAGUUUUGCCUGAAUAUUCUGUGCAUGGAAUAAUGGAAGAGGACCUCGGUUCUAUUUUGUUGGUUUUCGGAACCCCGAGGUAAUGAUUAAUAGGAACGGAUGGGGGCAUUCGUAUUGCGACGUUAGAGGUGAAAUUCUUGGAUCGUCGCAAGACGGACAGACGCGAAAGCAUUUGCCAAAAACGUUUUCAUUGAUCAAGAACGAAAGUUAGAGGUUCGAAGGCGAUCAGAUACCGCCCUAGUUCUAACCAUAAACGAUGCCAGCUAGCGAUCCGCCGACGUUCCUCCGAUGACUCGGCGGGCAGCUUCCGGGAAACCAAAGCUUUUGGGUUCCGGGGGAAGUAUGGUUGCAAAGCUGAAACUUAAAGGAAUUGACGGAAGGGCACCACCAGGAGUGGAGCCUGCGGCUUAAUUUGACUCAACACGGGGAAUCUGACCAGGCCCGGACACCGGAAGGAUUGACAGAUUGAGAGCUCUUUCUUGAUUCGGUGGGUGGUGGUGCAUGGCCGU